AUCUUGGGCAUAGUUCUUAACCUCCCUAGUCUUGUUUCUUUACAGGGGUAUUUGGAAGGAUAAAUCAAAUACAAACGAUACUGCCAAUAUUUGAACAAAUAGAGAAAAUUAAUUGUACACCUCCCACUCUGCCUUAGGCCCGUUGGUCCCUUCUCUGUUUCCAGAAUAUGCUUGGUGCUGCACCUGGGGAACUUUUGUUACUUCCUCUGCUGGCAACGCUCCUCCAUUGGAUAGCCACAGGUCUUGCUCCGUCCGCUCCUCACCUCUUUACUGUGAUGAAAUUACACACCUCUAACACUUCCCAUCUGCCUUUUCCCUGCUUUAAUUCUCUUCUUAGUGCUCAGCACUCUCUAACAUUCUACAUACGUCUUUGUCAUAUCAUCUUUGGCCAUCUCCACCAGAAUGCAAUCCUUGGGACUGCUAAGCAAGGUUAAGGUACAGUCCACGUGCUGUUCAGCCCCCUGCCACAGGCAGGAACACUUGGCAAGUCUGAGCAGUUCAGGAUGCUGUGGCCUCCCCCCACUCACAGUGGCAGCACUUCCGUCAGGUUUCACACUGUUGUGUCUCCAGAUCCUGAGCUCCUGCAACGUGCCUGGCAGCACGCGGCGGGCACUCGUUUAUUGUAGGCAUACGUCAGUGAACAACAGAAUGAACGCUCAAGGCUUCCCUAUAUUGUUUUUUGUCUUUCCUCAUAGGCAGGAAUGUGAAAGGUCAGAGGAUAAAAAGACAAAUGAAUAAAGAGCUUAAACAAAGGUAAUUAAGGAAAGAAGAAUGGCAGAAGGUUAAGAAGAGGAAGGCCUUAGCUUUGGAACAUUCUGAACCAGGUCAGUUCAGCUGCAGCUGAAGCCACGGUGGUGUCAUACAGUGUUCGCAAGACAAAUCUCGCAGAUGCAGAAGUGGGCACGUAGAAAUGACGACCACCAGGAAAGUAAAAGCUUGUCCUCCCCAGUGGAGGAAGAAGGCAUUGCUGGAGAACUGACUUGCUUCCUCAACUGAACCUACGCGGUUAUAAAACGUGAGCCUCCUCCAUCUAGGAAACACCACGCUCUGUGAUUUCACUGGUGAGGCAGAGGACAGCUGUAGUGGAGGGCGAAGCCAAUGAAGAGUCUGUCGAAGGUGGCAUCACUGGGAGGUGGCAGACUCUGUAUGGAUCCCAUGCCGCCUCUCUCGGGGGUGAGUGUGCAUUCCACCACAAGGUGGGAGCCCCGGAAAAUCAUCCAGGCAGCACACUGCAAAUGGUGGUAUGUCUACCACCAUUCAGAUUCGACUCUAGAUAGAUACCCGUUCUUCUCUGCUAGACUUCAUAUUGUGAGUACACGGCCAAUAGGUAAGUAAAUGUAUGAGGAGGGCAGUUCAUAAAGCCAUCAGUGCAAUGAAGAAAACGAUCAAGGACACUGUCAUGAGGAGUCACUUCAGUUGGGUGGUCGGGGAGAUGUGUCUGAGAAGGAAACCUGACACCGAAACAAGAAUAAUGGUACGGAACUGCCAUCGAAAGAUUGGGAGGGCGCGAUCCAGAGGUUUGCAGAGAGAGGGAGGAGCUAGAGCAGCAAGGGUCCGAAGGCAGAAUCGGACUGGGUGUGUUUGAGGAGAGACGGCAAGGAGCCCGCAGUCUGAGGACAGUAUGAGGGGAGAUCAAAAUGAGAUGGCAAGGGGUCUGAGGACACAGAGGGCCUAGAGAUCAUUAACUUCAUGAAGAAACAGUACUGAUAACAUACUCCCCUUCAUGUUUAUGUGUGGUGCUCCUAAUUCACUUGCCGGGAAAACGAAACAUGACCAGAAGAGAACUGGUUUGAACUGAACUGAAUAAAACGCCAUGCAGCUGCUUUUCUCCGUUCCCUUGUCCACACUCUUAUUUCCUCUGCUGUUAAGAAGAAGGCUGGCUAAGCCCAAGAGGGGGGCCUAUGACAGUAGAAUGAAGUGAAGAUGGUCGCACCAGAUACGAAUAUACGGAGUGCAUUUGAGAGAAAAAUCAUGUGGACCAAUUCCCAGCUUUGGUUUGUAACUAAACACCACCAUUCCCACCUUCAAGAUAAACUAAUGAUGGUGUGUGUCACAGUAAAUAGGAUAAACACAAAAGUAAACAGGAAAGAAGUCAUAUGACUCAUGAAAAGCUCUCCAAAAUUUGUUUCCACAGAUAUUUGUUUAACUGAGCCGAGCCAAUGAAGAGCUCUUUCAUUCAGUAACCAAUCCAGAAAACUACAAUGUCAACAUUUCCAUUUCUGAAGUGGAGAUUACCAUCAGCAUCUUGAAUGAGAAAAUCAGACUAAGUGUUCAUAUCCUUUCCUCAUGGAUCUCGGCCAGAGAAGUUUCCGGCUCACUCACCUUUGGGUUCGUGUGAUUCAUCAUCACUAUCCGAGCUAUCAUUACUCACAAUAUGCUUUGUUGUAAUAUUUUCUGUGAAAAGGAGACAAGACAAUUGAAGCAUCUUAGGUGUCAAAAUUCACAAAUUUAUUAUAAAGAAGUAAUCCGAGCAAAACCACAGAAUGAGACCUACUAGCUCUGCUAGUCUAAAUUUAAACCCGUUUAAUAAAUACAGAUGUAUUAGAUUUAAUCUUGUUUUCAGAUUUCUCACCAGAAACAAAAUUUCCUAGGAUAUGAAAAAUUAGUGUAUAUUUGUUAAUUCAUGAUUUAAAGAGGAUAAUUUUUAUGUUAAUCAUGAUUCCAACAAAAAGCACAACUUGAUUAUAGGAAGCUCUUGUUAUACCAAAAAAUACUUGUUUUUCUUCAUUAUUUUUAAGUGGUGUUUAUGAAGGUAGCGGAUAAAACCAGAACCUACAGGGGAGUACAGAACAGUUUUCUUUAAAUGAAUGAAAGAUAUUAACAUAUAUUAUCUUUUGAUUUCCAAUAAUAUUGUAAAAUUGUCAGUUGAAAUUCACCUUCUGAUGUCAAGAAUUUGUGCUUUCUGCAGAACAUAUUAAGAGAACAGUUAUAAAAACUAAAAUAACAACCAGAAAUCCUUAAAACAAAGACAGCAGUAAAAUCUAGCAUGAUGACUAGUUAUCUGUUUUCUGUUUUUAAACGGUUAUCCAGGCUGGGCUGCAGCAGCAUGACCCCUGCUCACUUCAACCUCUGCCUCUGUGCUCAAACAAUCCUUCCACCUUAGCCUCCUGAGUAGCUGGGUCUAUGGGAUGGACCAUCAUACUUGGCUAAUUUUUUUAUUUUUAUUUUUUGUAGAAAUGAGGUCUCACUCUAUUGCCUAGGCUGAUCUCAAACUCCUCCACCCAGGCAAUCUUCCUGCCGUGGCCUCCUAAAGGGCCGGGAUCAUAGGCAUGAGCCACCGUGCCCAGCCUAGUUGUCUGUUUCAAGUAAAAUGUCAUGAAUGAUCAAGGCUAUGUAAUGGAAGGGUUAAUAAAUGCUUAAGACAGUGGAUUGACAUUUUUUUUUUUUUUUUACUGGCAUGACUAUACAUUUGAUAAAAUGUUCACAAGCCAAUAUUAUUAGUUUCAUUUCAUGACUAUUAUCAAUAGUAAUUUUGUUACACGAAGGUAUGGGAGAUGUUAAGGAAUGAUCUACUCCAGGUGACAUAUAAUUAGAUGUGUUUCUAGACCUACACGUAUUUUGUUUUCCUUCCUUUUGCAUUUUCUUUCUUCCUUUCUCCCAUCCAUUUCUUCUUUCCUUCUUUCCUUCCUUCCUUCCUUUCUCUCUCUUUCUUUUCUUUCUGUCACAUUUGAUAGUU